GCCAUUUGAAUAAAAGCAUGUUUUUUCUAAUACCCCUACAAAGGUAAGCAGAAUAACCAGCAAAAGGAUAAGGGCACAGAUGCAUGGAAUCAGAAUUAGGAGCAAAAGUCGAAGGAACUUGGCAGAAGCCAGUUUUUGAGAGCAGCCAUCCCCCACGUUAUCCUCAUCUGCUCCUAAGACCCUUCUGGCGGAGAGGACCUGCCGGUAGCGCUCCUCCUCCGCGGGCAGGGCAGGGAACUGUUGCAUGGAGAGCAUGCUCGCGCUGUCGUCGGCUCCUCUCCGCUCUCUCCUGUCCCCCACUCUUGUCUGCCCCCGGCGCUGCCGAGCCGCCCGCCUCCCGAAGGCGCACACACGCUUGCCGGGCGCGGAGUGGGG
rnacentral:lncRNA from 1 species